UACGUAGGGCGCAAGCGUUGUCCGGAAUUAUUGGGCGUAAAGAGUUCGUAGGCGGCUUGUCACGUCUGGUGUGAAAGCUCGGGGCUUAACCCCGGGUCUGCAUUCGAUACGGGCAGGUUAGAGUGUGGUAGGGGAGAUCGGAAUUCCUGGUGUAGCGGUGAAAUGCGCAGAUAUCAGGAGGAACACCGGUGGCGAAGGCGGAUCUCUGGGCCAUUACUGACGCUGAGGAGCGAAAGCGUGGGGAGCGAACAGG
rnacentral:rRNA from 1 species